AGAAUCAACGCUGGCGGCGUGCCUAACACAUGCAAGUCGCACGAGAAAGGGGAGCAAUCCCUGAGUACAGUGGCGCACGGGUGAGUAACACGUGAAUCAUCUACCUCCGAGUGGGGAAUAACUGAGAGAAAUCUUAGCUAAUACCGCAUAACACUUACGAGUCAAAGCAGCAAUGCGCUUGGAGAGGAGUUCGCGGCAGAUUAGUUAGUUGGCGGGGUAAUGGCCCACCAAGACGAUGAUCUGUAUCCGGCCUGAGAGGGCGCACGGACACACUGGAACUGAAACACGGUCCAGACUCCUACGGGAGGCAGCAGUGGGAAUUUUGCGCAAUGGGGAAACCCUGACGCAGCAACGCCGCGUGGAGGAUGAAGCCCCUUGGGUGUAAACUCCUUUCGAUCGGGAAGAUAAUGACGGUACCGAUAUAAGAAGCCCGGCUAACUCGUGCCAGCAGCCGC
rnacentral:rRNA from 1 species